rnacentral:rRNA from 1 species
UACGUAGGGGGCAAGCGUUGUCCGGAAUUACUGGGCGUAAAGCGUGCGCAGGCGGUUUUGUAAGCCAGAUGUGAAAGCCCCGGGCUUAACCUGGGAAUGGCAUUUGGGACUGCAAGGCUGGAGUGUGGCAGAGGAGACUGGAAUUCCUGGUGUAGCAGUGAAAUGCGUAGAUAUCUGGAGGAACACCGGUGGCGAAGGCGGCAUCCUGGACCGACACUGACACUGAGGAGCGAAAGCCAGGGGAGCAAACGGG